rnacentral:rRNA from 1 species
UACGGAGGUGACUAGCGUUGUUCGGAAUUACUGGGCGUAAAGCGCACGUAGGCGGAUUUGUAAGUCAGGGGUGCAAUCCCGGGGCUCAACCUCGGAACUGCCUUUGAUACUGCAAAUCUCGAGUCCGGAAGAGGUGAGUGGAAUUCCUAGUGUAGAGGUGAAAUUCGUAGAUAUUAGGAAGAACACCGGUGGCGAAGGCGGCUCACUGGUCCGGUACUGACGCUGAGGUGCGAAAGCGUGGGGAGCAAACAGG